rnacentral:misc_RNA from 1 species
UAGCUUGGGACUGUAAGAUUAAUUUAUUGAGUUGUAACUUAUUAAUCUGUGUGUGUAAUAUGUGGAUAGAUGGCUAUGUUGGAUGAGGGAGUUGGACUCUCAUUUGAUUUUAUAUUGAUUGUGGAUGAUUAUAAGGGUGAGCUGAGCUCCCCAAAUGGAUUUAUUUUGAGAUUACAGGUUAAGUGAGUUAAGAACUCCCCGUUGGA